GAGGAUGUAACUCAGUGGUACAGUGCUUGCCUAGCAUGCAUAAGGUCUGGGUUCAAUCCCCAGCACCCCA
rnacentral:tRNA from 1 species